UUGACAAUUUUAUGCCAUUGUUUUCAGUGAUGGCGACGAUGUUUCACUUACUGCGGUUCAGAAUGGCUGAAUUAUCUAUGCUAUUAAAAUUCUUAUUCUCAUUACAGGAGGUGACGGAGGAGGUGGCGGAGGAGGAGUUUGCCAAGACAACAAUCAGUACUGCCCUUAUUGGAAAAGUUACUGCGGCUGGCAUGACUACGUCAUCGCAAACUGUAUGAUGACUUGCGGAAACUGCUAGUAAUUCACUAAUUUAAAAAGCAACCACGAAGUUUGACCGCGUAAAUUUCUUUGAACCUAGUAUAAAAUAUAAUAGAGUAAACUCUACUUUACAUUUGGUGUUUCAAUUUUGAAUAGUGAAACAAGCAAAAUGUAAUUGUUUGUGUUAUAAGUUAAUAAACUAUCAUUGUCU